rnacentral:rRNA from 1 species
UACGUAGGGGGCUAGCGUUGUCCGGAAUCAUUGGGCGUAAAGAGCGUGUAGGCGGCCCGGUAAGUCUGCUGUAAAAGUCAAAGGCUCAACCUUUGAAUGUCAGUGGAUACUGCCGGGCUAGAGUCCGGAAGAGGCGAGUGGAACUCCUGGUGUAGCGGUGGAAUGCGCAGAUAUCAGGAAGAACACCAACGGCGAAGGCAGCUCGCUGGGACGGUACUGACGCUGAGACGCGAAAGCGUGGGGAGCGAACAGG